rnacentral:rRNA from 1 species
CUACGGGGGGCUGCAGUGGGGAAUAUUGCACAAUGGGCGCAAGCCUGAUGCAGCAACGCCGCGUGAACGAAGAAGGUCUUCGGAUCGUAAAGUUCUUUUCUUAGGGAAGAAAAAUGACGGUACCUAAGGAAUAAGCACCGGCUAAAUACGUGCCAGCAGCCGCGGUAAUACGUAUGGUGCAAGCGUUAUCCGGAAUCACAGGGCGUAAAGGGAGCGUAGGCGGUUUUGCAAGUCAGAAGUGAAAGGCUACGGCUCAACCGUGGUAAGCUUUUGAAACUGCAAGACUAGAGUGCAGGAGAGGCAAGUGGAAUUCCUAGUGUAGAGGUGAAAUUCGUAGAUAUUAGGAGGAACACCAGUGGCGAAGGCGACUUGCUGGACUGUAACUGACGCUGAGGCUCGAAAGCGUGGGGAGCGAACAGGAUUAGAUACCCGAGUAGUC